AUGCGAAUUCGUCAUGUGAAACCUAAAACACACUCUCCCUUCGUUCUUUCUCCUCUCCGAGCAAGUUUUAUUUCUGAUUGAAUUUUGAAUAGUUUGGUGAUAAUAGGUUGAUUCCAGGAUUGGGUUCCAAUUUAGACUGAUAGACGUAUGAGAACAUGGUCUAAUUGUGAUCGACACCAAGAUUGACGCAACCAAAACUUACGUUACUUCCACGGGUAUGUUCAAUUUGUUUGGAGUUGGAGUUUCUCUCACUUUGGAGCUUGCAACUACUUAUAGGCAUGUUGCUGUCAAUCCAUCGAAAAUCCACGGUAAUGCAGUUUGCAACACGAAUCAAAGGCGUUUUCUGAAACUGAAACUAAGGUCCUUUAGAUAAGGAAAGCUAUGGCUUUGGAUAAAGUGAAAAAAAAAUGGCUGCUUUGUAGCAAAGGCAAUCUGAGUAUGUAAAGGAAUGGACGAUGACAACGAAAAAAGUGCGAGUACAGAAAGUUCGAUCUUAUUCUCAUUGCACAAUUAUGAAGAAUCUGAGCAUUUUCAUUGCAGUUACGAACCAUAAAACGAUGGUUCAACUUAUUAAAAAGCAGGGAAUUCGAUCCUUGCGGUUGUCAAGGCUGAAUACACCACAAAGCGCAAAGAGAUGAGGCCAACAGAUCAACAACUUGAGGAUAACCACAUACAUCCCUGGUGACAGGCCUGUCUUAUGCAACAAAAGGUUGUACUUCACUCCUUUCACAAGUGUCGAAGUUGCAACCAGGGAUAAUCAUGGAGUUCCAAGGUAUAGUUGAGACAGGUACUUAUGUGGACAUCAAAGUUACUGAUCCCUGAAUAUUAAUUUGGCAAUGUGAUGUUUCACUUAUCAAAGGUCUCUGACCAUGAAUUUGGGAAAACAACUUCAAACCAGACCGUUGUUCUCUUCGACUAGAUAUUCUGGAUUGAUUUUAAAAAUUUAGAAACUUAUUGCUUUCAGAUUCUUCUAUUUUAUGCUCUAGAUAAUAGGAAAAUACUAUUAUAAUUAAUUCUUCAUU